GGCGGCGUAGCUCAGCUGGUUAGAGCGUGGGCUUCAUAAUCCCGAGGUCGCAGGUUCGAGUCCUGCCGCCGCUA
rnacentral:tRNA from 1 species